rnacentral:rRNA from 1 species
CGAGAGAGGUGAGAGGAACUCCGAGUGUAGAGGAGAAAUUCGUAGAUAGUCGGACGCACACCACUGGCGAAGCCGGCUCACUGGCUCGAUACUGACGCUGAGGUGCGAAAGUGUGGCGAGCAGACAGGAAUAGAUACCCAGGUAGUCCACACCGUGAACGAUGAAAGCCAGACGUCGGCCAGCAGGCUGUUCGGUGUCACACCUCACGGAGCGAGCAUCCCGCCUGGGGAGUACGCCCGCAAGGUUCACACUCAAAGGAACUGACGGGGGCCCGCACAAGCGAUGGAGCAUGUGGAUUAAUUCGAAGCAACGCGCAGAACCUUGCCAACCCUUGACAUCUUCGUCGCGGUUACCGGAGACGGUUUCAGUCAGUUCGGCUGGACGACUGACAGGUGAUGCAUGGCUGUAGUCAGCUCGUUUCGUGAGAUGUUCGGUUAAGUCCGGCAACGAGCGCAACCCACACCCUUAGUAGCCAGCAGUCCGGCUGGGCACUCUAGGGGAACUGCCCGUGAUAAGCGGGAGGAAGGUGUGGAUGACGUCAAGUCCUCAUGGCCAUUACGGGUUGGGCUACACACGUGCUACAAUGGCAGUGACAAUGGGGUAAUCCCAAACAACUGUAUCAGUUCGGAUUGUCGUCUGCAACUCGACGGCAUGAAGUCGGAAUCGCUAGUAAUCGCGUAACAGCACACCGCGGAGAAUACGUUCCCGCGGCCGUAGUACACAGCCGCCCGAUCACACUCAUGGGAGUUGGGAUUACGCCGAAGACUGGUGCGCCAACCUCGGAGGCAGCCGGCCACGGUAAGCCCAGCGACUG